UGCGAGUCACAUAGCAAUAUGUGGCAUACGGCUCAGUAACACGUAGUCAACAUGCCCAGGGGACGUGGAUAACCUCGGGAAACUGAGGAUAAACCGCGAUAGGUCAUCACUUCUGGAAUGGGUAAUGACUUAAAUCUAUAUGGCCCCUGGAUUGGACUGCGGCCGAUCAGGCUGUUGGUGAGGUAAUGGCCCACCAAACCUGUAACCGGUACGGGCUCUGAGAGGAGGAGCCCGGAGAUGGGCACUGAGACAAGGGCCCAGGCCCUAUGGGGCGCAGCAGGCGCGAAACCUCUGCAAUAGGCGAAAGCUUGACAGGGUUACUCUGAGUGAUUUCCGUUAAGGAGAUCUUUUGGCACCUCUAAAAAUGGUGCAGAAUAAGGGGUGGGCAAGUCUGGUGUCAGCCGCCGCGGUAAUACCAGCACCCCGAGUGGUCGGGACGUUUAUUGGGCCUAAAGCAUCCGUAGCCGGUUCUACAAGUCUUCCGUUAAAUCCACCUGCUUAACAGAUGGGCUGCGGAAGAUACUAUAGAGCUAGGAGGCGGGAGAGGCAAGCGGUACUCGAUGGGUAGGGGUAAAAUCCGUUGAUCCAUUGAAGACCACCAGUGGCGAAGGCGGCUUGCCAGAACGCGCUCGACGGUGAGGGAUGAAAGCUGGGGGAGCAAACCGGAUUAGAUACCCGGGUAGUCCCAGCUGUAAACGAUGCAGACUCGGUGAUGAGUUGGCUUAUUGCUAACUCAGUGCCGCAGGGAAGCCGUUAAGUUUGCCGCCUGGGGAGUACGGUCGCAAGACUGAAACUUAA
rnacentral:rRNA from 1 species